rnacentral:lncRNA from 1 species
GGGCCCUGACCAUUAGCAUAUCAAUCAGAAAAACUGAGUGCUUUAGAACUUACAUAUCCUCUUCAAAUCUUUAAAGAGCCAAACUCUAAAAAUCACACAUAAAAGAUAUUUGUCAUUAAAAAACACACACACACACAAACAAACUUUAAUCACCUUGAGGAACCAUGAUCCAAUAAUAUAUUUAAUAGGUAAGAUUUCAUUCAUCAAUGUACAAAAAAAACACCCCAAAACCUAAACUUUGAUUAAGACACGUACUCUUUUAACAAGAGUACUUACAGUUAGAAAGGUUUAUCGGUAGCACUCUGAGGUAGCAUAUUUUGUAAAGUAAUGGAAAUAGUCACAGAGCCGCUCUGCAGUUUCUUUUGGGCACAAAAGGACAGGCUGUUAGCUGUUGCUCUUGAUAGAGAAGAGUGAAUUUGUCUGUACUCAUUGCCAAAGUCAGCCUGACCAUGUUCCUUGCUGUGGCCAUCCCCACGUUACAUUGUGGGUGGGUUUAGGAAAAGAUAAAAGUGUUUCAACACCUCUUUCCUCUUGGUGUAGUGACACCCUGGCUUUGGCACCAAUCUCCUUUAGCCACAUGCAGUCCUCACUGGCAGGAGAUGCACACACCCAGUAGGAAGAAAAAUAGGGCAUCACAGUGCCUUUUUUUCAGUGGGCUCUA